rnacentral:rRNA from 1 species
GAUGAACGCUGACAGAAUGCUUAACACAUGCAAGUCUUUGGCGAAUCUGUGCUUGCACAGGCUAGCCAAGGCGGACGGGUGAGUAACGCGUAAAGAACUUGCCCUGCAGACAGGGAUAACAGACGGAAACGACUGAUAACACCUGAUACAGUUGCCGGCACGCAUGUGCCUGGCAAUGAAAAGAGAUGCUGCAGGAGAGCUUUGCGUCCUAUUAGCUUGUUGGUGGGGUGACGGCUCACCAAGGCGAUGAUAGGUAGCCGGCCUGAGAGGGUGAACGGCCACAAGGGGACUGAGAUACGGCCCUUACUCCUACGGGAGGCAGCAGUGGGGAAUAUUGGACAAUGGGGGCAACCCUGAUCCAGCAAUUCUGUGUGCACGAAGAAGGUUUUCGGAUUGUAAAGUGCUUUCAGCAGGGAAGAAGAAAGUGACGGUACCUGCAGAAGAAGCGACGGCUAAAUACGUG